rnacentral:piRNA from 1 species
UGUAAAAACGUGCUCGGGUGUGACACC